rnacentral:rRNA from 1 species
AGAGUUUGAUCAUGGCUGUUAACGAACGUUGGCGGCGUGCUUAACACAUGCAAGUCGAGCGCGAAAUCUGACUUCGGUUGGAGAGUAGAGCGGCGCACGGGUGAGUAACACGUGAAUAAUCUGCCUCAAAGCCCGGGAUAACCAUUGGAAACGGUGGCUAAUACCGGAUAAGCCCCCACCUACGUCGGUAGGAGAGGGAAAAGUUCAGACGCUUUGAGAUGAGUUCGCGUCCCAUUAGGUAGUUGGUGAGGUAACGGCUCACCAAGCCGAAGAUGGGUAGCUGGUCUGAGAGGAUGAUCAGCCACACUGGAACUGAGACACGGUCCAGACUCCUACGGGAGGCAGCAGUGGGGAAUAUUGCGCAAUGGGCGAAAGCCUGACGCAGCAACGCCGCGUGAGUGACGAAGGCCCUUGGGUCGUAAAGCUCUGUCAAGAGGGACGAAGCAAGUGACGGUACCUCUAAAGGAAGCACUGGCUAACUCCGUGCCAGCAGCCGCGGUAAUACGGAGAGUGCAAACGUUGUUCGGAAUCAUUGGGCGUAAAGCGCGCGUAGGUUGUGUAUCAGGUCGAGUGUGAAAGCCCAGGGCUCAACCCUGGAACUGCGCUCGAAACCGGUACGCUAGAGUCCCU